rnacentral:rRNA from 1 species
GUGAACUGCGGACGGCUCAUUACAACAGAUAUAAUUUCCCAGUUAAUUUUUUUAAAUGGAUAACUGCGGUAAUUCUGGAGCUAAUACAUGCACUAAGUCAUGUUCCUUCGGAGCAUGAUGCUUUUAUCUGUGCAAAACCAAUUAUAUUUGGUUGUUUACUCUGGAUAAAUGAGCUUAUCGCACGGCCUAGUGCCGGCGAAAUUACUGUCAAGUAUCUGCUCUAUCAACUGUCGUUGGUAGUGUAUUGGACUACCAUGGUGUUGACGGGUAACGGAGAAUAAGGGUUCGACUCCGGAGAGGGAGCCUUAGAAACGGCUACCAUGUCUAAGGAUAGCAGCAGGCACGAAAAUUACCCACUGUCAAAAUGAUGAGGUAGUAACGAGAAAUAACGAGACCGUUCUCUUUGAGGUCGGUCAUUGGAAUGAGUAAAAUCCAGAUGCUUUAACGAGUAUCUACGAGAGGGCAAGUCUGGUGCCAGCAGCCGCGGUAAUUCCAGCUCUCGUAAGGUAUAGAAUUAUUGCUGUGGUUAAAAAGUUCGUAGUUGAAUUUAAAAGUUGGUACGGGUCUACCUUCAUGGUUAGUACUCGUUGCCUUCAGUUUGCUGUGUUGUGCGCUAUUCAUUUUUCAUGAUGGGUGGUUGCGCUCAUAGCAGGAUUACUUUGAACGGUUUAAGUGCUCAAAGCACGUCUUAUGACCGAAUACCGGUGCAUGGAAUAAUGGAAUAAGGCUUCGGCCAAGUUUUGUUGGUUUUCUCGGCUGAAACAAUGGUUAACAGGAACAGCCGGGGGCAUCCGUAUCGUUACGCGAGAGGUGAAAUUCGUGGACCGUAGCGAGACGACCUAAAGCGCGAGCACUUGCCAAGAGUGUUUUCAUUAAUCAAGAACGAAAGUCAGAGGUUCGAAGGCGAUUAGAUACCGCCCUAGUUCUGACCGUAAACUAUGCCAACUGCCGAUUCGCUUGUGGAUUCAAUUCAUAAGCGAGGAGGUUCCCGGAAACGAAAGUUUUUCGGUUCCGGGGGAAGUAUGGUUGCAAAGCUGAAACUUAAAGGAAUUGACGGAAGGGCACCACCAGGAGUGGAGCUUGCGGCUUAAUUUGACUCAACACGGGAAAUCUCACCCGGCCAGUACAUUGUAAGGAUUGACAGACUGAUAGCUCUUUCAUGAUCCGGUGAAUGGUGGUGCAUGGCCGUUCUUAGUUCGUGGAUUGAUUUGUCUGGUUUAUUCCGAUAACGAACGAGACUUUAACUAUUAAAUAGAGCAUCUGUAUAAAUUCAUGGCAGGUGAUCUCUUCUUAAAAGAAUUUGGCGUUUCCAACGUCAAGAGAUUGAGCAAUAACAGGUCUGUGAUGCCCUUAGAUGUUCGGGGCCGCACGCGUGCUACAAUGAUGGUAACAGCGCGCUUGUCCUUCCCCGAGAGGGGUUGGCAAACGGUUGAGAUAUUAUUAUGUCUGGAAUUGAGGUUUGAAAUUUUUCCUCAUGAACGAGGAAUUCCAAGUAAAUGUGAGUCAUUAACUUGCAUUGAUUACGUCCCUGCCCUUUGUACACACCGCCCGUCGCUGCCCGGGACUGGGUUAUCUCGAGAAGACUAGGGAUUGUUGAUGUUUUUGGUGACUUGUGUCAUUGGCAUCGAUGAGAACGAGUUUAAUCGCGGUGGCCUGAACCGGGC